AAUCUAUCACAAUCCACAACGUGAACCAGUCUGUUGGCCUCUCAGCUUAACGGCUGAGGCUAGGCAUGUGUUGGGUUUGCGCCUGUCACGUGCCUAGGUCGUUGCCUAGCCCAUUAUUGGACUAGGCAGCGUCGGUCUUUACUAACCAACCAACACCAAACCAAAUCAAAUCAAAAAACGAGUGCUCAGCUUAGAGCUGACGCUCACCAACCAAGACAACUCUCAACAACGGAUAUCUUGGCUCUCAGAUCGAUGAAGAACGCAGCGAAAUGCGAUACGUAGUGUGAAUUGCAGAAAUACGUGAAUCAUCGAAUCUUUGAACGCAUAUUGCGCUCGAGGCUUCGGCCAAGAGCAUGUCUGCCUCAGCGUCGGGUUAAUACUCGCUCUCUCCCUCCCGUGGGGCUGAGAACGGAACUGGCUGUCUCAGCAAUUCAUUGCUGGGUCGGCUGAAGUGCAGAGGUUGAUGCAUGGACCCGCUCAUGGGCCUCUACUGGGUAGGCAACUUGUUGCUAAUGCUUUAGUAGAUGGCUUGGGACUGUGCUGGUCGACCCAAACCAGGAACUCUGCUUAUGCAGAGCCCUUUCUAUUUUCGACCUGAGCUCAGGCAAGA
rnacentral:sRNA from 1 species